rnacentral:rRNA from 1 species
CUGAAAAUAAAUUUCCAACGUCUAACACACAUCGUUUACGGCAUGGACUACGAGGGUAUCUAAUCCUCUUCGCUACCCAUGCUUUCGUUCCUCAGUGUCAGUAAUGAUCCAGAAAGCUGCCUUCGCAAUUGGUAUUCUUUCUAAUAUCUACGAAUUUCACCUCUACACUAGAAAUUCUGCUUUCCUCUAUCAUACUCUAGCUGAAAAGUUUUGAUGGCAGUUCCAGAGUUAAGCUCUGGGAUUUCACCACUAACUUUUUCAACCACCUACGAACUCUUUAAGCCCAGUAAUUCCGAACUACGCUAGGUCCCUUCGUAUUACCGCGGCUGCUGGCACGAAGUUAGCCGGACCUUCUUAUUCGGGUACAGUCAUUUUCUUCCCCGACGAAAGAGCUUUACAACCCAAAGGCCUUCUUCACUCACGCGGCAUCGCUGCAUCAGAGUUUCCUCCAUUGUGCAAGAUUCCCCACUGCUGCCUCCCGUAGGAGUUUGGGCCGUGUCUCAGUCCCAAUGUGGCUGAUCAUCCUCUCAAAUCAGCUAUUGAUCAUAGUCUUGGUAGGCCAUUACCCUACCAACAAACU